GCCGGGAUGGCGGAAUAGGUAGACGCGCCGGACUUAAAAUCCUGUGGGCCUCAAGCCCGUGCGGGUUCGAUUCCCGCUCCUGGUA
rnacentral:tRNA from 1 species